GACGAACGCUGGCGGCGUGCCUAAUACAUGCAAGUAGAACGCUGAAGAGAGGAGCUUGCUCUUCUUGGAUGAGUUGCGAACGGGUGAGUAACGCGUAGGUAACCUGCCUUGUAGCGGGGGAUAACUAUUGGAAACGAUAGCUAAUACCGCAUAACAAUGGAUGACACAUGUCAUUUAUUUGAAAGGGGCAAUUGCUCCACUACAAGAUGGACCUGCGUUGUAUUAGCUAGUAGGUGAGGUAAUGGCUCACCUAGGCGACGAUACAUAGCCGACCUGAGAGGGUGAUCGGCCACACUGGGACUGAGACACGGCCCAGACGCCUACGGGAGGCAGCAGUAGGGAAUCUUCGGCAAUGGGGGCAACCAUGACCGAGCAACGCCGCGUGAGUGAAGAAGGUUUUCGGAUCGUAAAGCUCUGUUGUAAGUCAAGAACGGGUGUGAGAGUGGAAAGUUCACACUGUGACGGUAGCUUACCAGAAAGGGACGGCUAACUACGUG
rnacentral:rRNA from 1 species